UAGUGACAAUAAAUAACAAUGCUGGGUCUAUGACUUAGUAAUUGGAAUGAGAACAAUUUUAAACCCCUUAUCGAGUAAACCAUCAGAGGGCAAGUCUGGUGCCAGCAGCCGCGGUAAUUCCAGCUCUGAUAGCGUAUAUUAAAGUUGUUGCAGUUAAAAAGCUCGUAGUUGGAUAUUAGGAUCUACUUGUAUGGUCGGUUGUGAUAAAACAAUCUUGUACUGUAUAAGUGAUUCUUUCCUACUGGUUACUCGACUCUGUCCUUUACUGGAUGGAGUAGUGUCGCAAGGCAUCGCUUGAUGUUAUAUUGCCUAUGAAUGUAGUUAUUGGGUAAAACUGGUAGUGAAAACUUAUAGGAUCACAGUAUGAUAUUAAGUGGGGUUCCAGUUCUAAUUUACUUUGAGUAAAUUAGAGUGUUCAAAGCAGCCUCUUGGGGCAUUGAAUAGAUUAGCAUGGGAUAAUAGAAUAGGACUCUUGUCUAUUUAUUGGUUUAAGAUUUAGAGUAAUGAUU
rnacentral:rRNA from 1 species